CUUGGUCAAUAUUGGUCCAGACAAACCUCUGCUAGCUCUAAACUCAUAUCUCUCUCUCUCUCUCUCCCUCUGCUCCUCCUCUCUCUCUACCUCUCUCUCUCCCUCUGCUCCUCCUCUCUCUCUACCUCUCUUACACUCUCUCUCUCUCCCUCUGAACCUCCUCUCUCUCUACCUCUCUCUCUUGCUCUCUGUCUCUCAAAACUUCUCUGUCUCUCAAAACAUCUCUCUCUCUACCUCUCUCUCUACCUUUCUACCUUUCUUAUACUCUGUCUCUCUCUCUACCUUUCUUACACGCUGUCUCUCUCUCUCUCUACCUCUCUCUCUUGCUCUGCUCCUCCUCUCUACCUCUCUCUCUCUCUCUACCUCUCUCUCUCCCUCUGCUCCUCCUCUCUCUCUACCUCUCUCUCUACCUUUCUUACACUCUGUCUCUCUCUCUCUCUACCUCUCUCUCUCCCUCUGCUCCUCCUCUCUCUCUACCUCUCUCUCUUGCUCUCUGUCUCUCAAAACUUCUCUGUCUCUCAAAACAUCUCUCUCUCUACCUCUCUCUACCUCUCUCUCUACCUUUCUCUCUACCUUUCUUACACUCUGUCUCUCUCUCUCUCUCUCUCUCUCUACCUCUCUCUCUACCUCUCUCUACCUUUCUUACAUUUUGUCUCUCUCUCUACCUCUCUCUCUUGCUCUCUGUCUCUCAAAACAUCUCUUCUCUCUCUCUACCUCUCUUGCUUUCUGUCUCUAUCUCUCUCUCUCUACCUCUCUCUCUACCUCUCUCUCUUGCUUUCUGUCUCUAUCUCUCUAUCUUCACCUAGAAAGCAGCUGAAGGUGAGGUUCUGGCGUCGAGUGCAACCCCAGGAGACUCUGUUCACCAUUCACAGGACCCCUGAACUCUCAACUCUGACCCCUUCACCCUCUCACCUAGCAGUCCACAGCAGAGGGACGAAGAUCUGGGAGGAGAGAGGAAAUGCGAGAAAUGGAGAAGAGGGAGGCCAAGAAACGAGGAGGAGAGAGAUAGAAUUGGGAUGA
rnacentral:lncRNA from 1 species